UGAGAGAGACGGUGACAACGGUAUUUCUCCCUGCAGCCCUCUCUCCUCUGGAGGGGUUUUUGAACUUUUAUCACCUCUGGAAGUUGGGGGGUGAAGGUGUUGACAGCAACCUACCCCUCCUGAAGAGAAAGGAAAUGAGUUUGCGCUAAUGACCUAGACGAGGAAAAAGAGUGACUCCAAAAACCCAAAGGACUAUGCUACAUGUAUUAUUUUUUGAAGAAGGAAGUUAAUAAAUCAUUCUUUCAUGUUAUAUAAACACAUCUAAAUGUGUGGAUUUUAUCAACUAUUUUUUAAAACUUUGACUGAAAAUUAUAUACCUUCCUCCUAUAAAAUUCACCCUGGAAAACUGUUUUAAAAAAGAAGACUUAGAAAGUGAAUAAUCUAUAUUUUCUUCUCUGAAGUAUAAUGUAUACAUGGAAAUUACAGGUGAUCUAUGGAAAAAAUUGCAAUAUUCAGAAACUGAGUAAUGUCAUAGCAGAUCCAAUUAUGAAAUAAACAUUUCCUUGAAACUGGAAGAUCUUUACGCAUUUGAUAAAAACUGAAAUCAUAUUCUCCAGAGAGAAAAACAGAGGGAAAAGAAGCAUAUGGAGGUCAGUCUGGGUGUGACAUCCAUUACCACAUCUAUCUUUCCUCCAUACUCCCUGUAGAAAGGAGCAGCCUGUUCCCAACCUGGACUGAGAAAGGAUGACUUCACUGAAAGAUCUUUCAAAUAUCAAUGAAGAGAUGGCAUUUGUUUUGCAGGAUAGCUCAGAGAAAAUGCUCAAGGGACAAGAAAACCAGAAGAAAGAACAGUGUUGAGGCAAUGGGAUGCUGUCACUGGAAUGGGACAUUCCACAGUCAUCUGUAGUGGUGCACAAACUCAAAGAAAAAGAAUUAAGGGAAGUUUUAAACACCCUUGUCCUGGAGCAUGUUUGCACUCCUGCCUUCAUCCAGACAUCUUUU